rnacentral:rRNA from 1 species
AUCUACGGCCAUGCCACCCUGAACAAGCCCGAUGUCUGAUCUCGGAAGUUAAGCAGGGUCGGGCCUGGUUAGUACUUGGAUGGGAGACUACCUAGGAAGACCAGGCGCCAUAGGCA